ACCAAAUCAUCUUCGACCCUCGAACUCGGAGACACAGUGGGGCUGGGUGGGAACAGUGGCCUCACAUGGAGACAUGUGCAGCUGACUCCUUCCUUUACAGGCAGAUGCAAUUGAUCCCCGGAGUUGGAGCACAUGCUGUCAGAUUCAUCUUUGCCGGAGUAACAAGUUUGGAAUCAUCAUGCUUGGAUUUGACUCCAAGCUAUCUCCGGCCGGCUAACCUGCCGAUGCUUAGUCCACUCGAUCCACUCUGUUUCUUCUGCUCGCCGCUUGUCAUCAAGUGGGUUUCCUUGGGAAUGCAACACCAGUUUGUUCUCGGGUUUAUGACUACAUUUACUUAAAGCUUUAUCUGAA
rnacentral:lncRNA from 1 species